UCUCCGUAGGUGAACCUGCGGAGGGAUCAUUACCGAGCGAGGGCCCCGGCCCGACCUCCAACCCACUGAAGUUACCAACCCUGUUGCCUCGGGGGCGACCCGGCCCCGCGUCGGGGCCCCCGGUGGCUCACACCUCAACUCUUGCAUCUGUGCGUCUGAGUAACAUAUUGAAUCAAUCAAAACUUUCAACAACGGAUCUCUUGGUUCUGGCAUCGAUGAAGAACGCAGC
rnacentral:misc_RNA from 1 species